rnacentral:rRNA from 1 species
UACGGGGGGGGCAAGCGUUGUUCGGAAUUACUGGGCGUAAAGGGCGCGUAGGCGGCCUGUUAAGUCGAACGUGAAAUCCCCGGGCUCAACCCGGGAACUGCGUCCGAUACUGGCAGGCUUGAAUCCGGGAGAGGGAUGUGGAAUUCCAGGUGUAGCGGUGAAAUGCGUAGAUAUCUGGAGGAACACCGGUGGCGAAGGCGGCAUCCUGGACCGGUAUUGACGCUGAGGCGCGAAAGCCAGGGGAGCAAACAGG